AACCGAGGAUUAUUUAUAUAUGUUUUAUUUUAGUAGCUCUAUACUACUUGUUGUAGUGUUAUAUGAUUACAGGUACAGGUACAGCUUCGCUUCGUAUACAGAAAAAAUUUCUAUAUAUACGGCGGGUCUGUUAGUGUGCCCAGGAAAAUGAGUAAUUCAGGGCGUGACAGAGAGAGAGAAAAAAAAUAAAAAAAGAAAAUAAGAGAGAAAAGGAGAGAGAAAAAAAAGGG
rnacentral:lncRNA from 1 species